rnacentral:miRNA from 1 species
GGCGCGGGCGCUAGACGCCUCG